rnacentral:lncRNA from 1 species
UGAAAGUUUGAUGCUUAAGUUGAGAAUAGGUCACAGUAGUCCGUCUAAGAAACUAAAAUUUCAGAGAAACGAAGAAAUAUCAUGGUAGAAUUUGGCUUGCCUUGAUUCUUCAUCGUCAUCCUUGCCUUUAUCAUCUUAAACCUGUUCCCCUGGAACUCUUAAACUCUCUAAGACAAAAGAUUUUUCUCGAUGACAUCAAAGCUUCAGAUGCUCUGCCUCCACUCGAUCGA